UUUCUGUAGUUGGCAAUAGGAGGUCCUCAAGGUGCUCAGGGGCAAGGAAGGAUGACCAGGCCAUUCAAUGUCAGGGAGAAGCAAUGAGAGGCAACACAUAGGGUAUGACAGAAGGGUCUGGAGGCUUUGAGAAUCCCUGCUGCCUCCAUGUCUGCAGAGGAGCCAGGCAAGCCUUGAAGCUCCCCUGGUCUCCCCUUCACUUGCUUGUUUUACCAAGGUUUCCUUUGCAACCAGGGCAGUGUCCAGCCAGUCCUUCCCGUGCUGUCCUGGAGCUGACCAGGACAACUGUCAGUGGGAGUCACCGUGCACAGAUCACAGAAGAAGGGUUACUUGAGGAGGUACCUGAUGAUGCACAGCAGCUCCCCCAGCCUGCAGAAAUCUCAGAUUUGCCACCUAUGUCCACAUUCAGAGUGAAUCAAAUCCUUGGGAAAGAGUUGCACGAAUUCCUGAAAACUGGUGUGUACAGGUGUGGCAGAUCAGACAGAUCCUGAAAGUGCCUAUUGUUUAUGUACCUAUUGUAUAAACACGCUUAUAUUGUGCAUUUAUUCCAAAUGGAGCACAAUAGCUGGAUGGAGACAGCAGAGAUUGCAGAUAAUAUGUUCACAAACCAUCGGCAGGACAAUGGAGUAGAGCCUUUUGAAGUUCCUCACAGAGGGUCUGGUGUCCCUGGGUUAACCAAGGUAUGUACAUAGGGA
rnacentral:lncRNA from 1 species